rnacentral:rRNA from 1 species
UACGGAGGGUGCAAGCGUUAUCCGGAUUCACUGGGUUUAAAGGGUGCGUAGGCGGGCAGGUAAGUCAGUGGUGAAAUCUCCGAGCUUAACUUGGAAACUGCCGUUGAUACUAUCUGUCUUGAAUAUUGUGGAGGUGAGCGGAAUAUGUCAUGUAGCGGUGAAAUGCUUAGAUAUGGCAUAGAACACCAAUUGCGAAGGCAGCUUACUACACAAAUAUUGACGCUGAGGCACGAAAGCGUGGGGAUCAAACAGG